GAAGAACCAUAUCGCUUACGCUUUUUAUUCACUGGCUCACGAUCCAAAACGUUAGAAUUUAAUGUAGAUAACAUUUUACUGUAAAUAAAUAUUGAUUCGCACUGGUUUUCCCCACAGUAUAGGGAUUGUGGUUUUCCCCCGACAACGUUUGUUUUGAUUAAAAUUCUUACUGUCCCCCCUCCCAGUGGAGAAAGAUUUUAAAUUUUUGUUCAUAUUCGUUGUCCAAUCAGGUUUGAGUGUAUUUUGAGUUGUUCAACGACUUCCGCUUUUUGUCCAGCAAACCCGGCACGCGGAUAUAUUUUGGCCGAAUUUUGUCGUUCCCUC